AAAAAUUGUGCUAAUCCAGGCCUAAAUUUAAUGUAAUAACAAGACGUAUAUCCAGAUGGUCCUUCCUGAAGAUUGAAUGAACGAACAUCCCUUAAAACAUCAUAAUUAACAUUGCCAGGAUCUGACAUCCAUUCUCCAACAGUUGGAUCUACAGUAGCAUGAAUUAUAGUUUGAUCUAAAUCAACAAUCAAUGAAAGUCGCUUCUCUUGCCUAAGGCGUUUAACGUUUUCUGAUUCCAGUCUGCUAGCUUCCUAAAAAUAAUGUUAACUAAUGAUU